CAACCAUCGUCGUGAGGCGAUGCUGAACCGGCAGAAGUCAGCAGAGGUCAUAGUACCUGCAAGGAGACGUCCGGGCAGGGAAGGAC
rnacentral:ncRNA from 1 species